rnacentral:rRNA from 1 species
GACGAACGCUGGCGGCGUGCUUAACACAUGCAAGUCGAACGAAGAGCGAUGGAAGCUUGCUUCUAUCAAUCUUAGUGGCGCACGGGUGAGUAACGCGUAAUCAACCUGCCCUUCAGAGGGGGACAACAGUUGGAAACGACUGCUAAUACCGCAUACGAUCUAAACUCGGCAUCGAGGAUAGAUGAAAGGUGGCCUCUACAUGUAAGCUAUCACUGAAGGAGGGGAUUGCGUCUGAUUAGCUAGUUGGAGGGGUAACGGCCCACCAAGGCGAUGAUCAGUAGCCGGUCUGAGAGGAUGAACGGCCACAUUGGGACUGAGACACGGCCCAGACUCCUACGGGAGGCAGCAGUGGGGAAUCUUCCGCAAUAGACGAAAGUCUGACGGAGCAACGCCGCGUGAGUGAUGACGGCCUUCGGGUUGUAAAGCUCUGUUAAUCGGGACGAAAGGCCUUCUUGCGAAUAGUGAGAAGGAUUGACGGUACCGGAAUAGAAAGCCACGGCUAACUACGUG